GACAGCAGUCGCCACGGUAAUACAGAGGGUGCGAGCGUUAAUCGGAUUUACUGGGCGUAAAGCGUGCGUAGGCGGCUUUUUAAGUCGGAUGUGAAAUCCCUGAGCUUAACUUAGGAAUUGCAUUCGAUACUGGGAAGCUAGAGUAUGGGAGAGGAUGGUAGAAUUCCAGGUGUAGCGGUGAAAUGCGUAGAGAUCUGGAGGAAUACCGAUGGCGAAGGCAGCCAUCUGGCCUAAUACUGACGCUGAGGUACGAAAGCAUGGGGAGCAAACAGGAUUAGAUACCCCAGUAGUCCCUGUCUCUUAUAC
rnacentral:rRNA from 1 species